UACGAAGGGGGCUAGCGUUGCUCGGAAUCACUGGGCGUAAAGGGUGCGUAGGCGGGUCUUUAAGUCAGGGGUGAAAUCCUGGAGCUCAACUCCAGAACUGCCUUUGAUACUGAGGAUCUUGAGUUCGGGAGAGGUGAGUGGAACUGCGAGUGUAGAGGUGAAAUUCGUAGAUAUUCGCAAGAACACCAGUGGCGAAGGCGGCUCACUGGCCCGAUACUGACGCUGAGGCACGAAAGCGUGGGGAAGCAACAGGGAUUAAGAAACCCCGG
rnacentral:rRNA from 1 species